rnacentral:rRNA from 1 species
GUAGGGUGCGAGCGUUGUCCGGAUUUAUUGGGCGUAAAGAGCUCGUAGGCGGCUUGUUACGUCGGCUGUGAAAACCCGCGGCUCAACUCUGGGCGUGCGGUCGAUACGGGCAUCACUUGAGUUCGGCAGGGGAGACUGGAAUUCCUGGUGUAGCGGUGAAAUGCGCAGAUAUCGGGAGGAACACCAGUGGCGAAGGCGGCUUCCUGGACCGGUUCUGACACUGAGGAGCGAAAGCGUGGGGAGCGAUCCGG